UACAGAGGUCUCAAGCGUUGCUCGGAUUCAUUGGGCGUAAAGGGUGCGUAGGUGGCGCUGUAAGUCGGGUGUGAAAUUUCGGAGCUUAACUCCGAAACUGCAUUCCAUACUGCGGUGCUUGAGGACUGGAGAGGAGACUGGAAUUCAUGGUGUAGCAGUGAAAUGCGUAGAGAUCAUGAGGAAGACCAGUGGCGAAGGCGGGUCUCUGGACAGUUCCUGACACUGAGACGCGAAGGCCAGGGGAGCAAACGGG
rnacentral:rRNA from 1 species